ACAUGCUUACAACAUAGCAUUAAUGCACCAGAUACCAUUAGAAAUCCAUAGUUAAGCACGCUUGGGAUAGAGUAGUACUUGGAUGGGUGACCACCCGGGAAGUCCUAGUAUUUUACAUGCC
rnacentral:rRNA from 1 species